GGGGAAUUAGUGUAACGGUUAACACGCGUCGGGCAUGGAAGUGACCCGUUAAGCCCGUGUGUAAUCGGGUAAUUACUACUGAGAAUUAGUGCAUGCGACGAACCGAGGGUUCGAUUCCCUCAGUCCCUA